UAUAAUCCAGGGGCCGAGCCAGAGGUGCCUGUAGCAGUGAGAAGCUGGAUCAGGCAAGAGAGGCCCUGUCUUUCCAAGACCAGGCACAUUUUGGUCAGUGUUUCCAGCCCCCAGACAUAGGAAAGAAUAGAUUUCUUGUGCUUUUUUUCUACAGCAGCCUUAGGAUGCUAACCCGCCAUUUAGUGAGCCCAGUCCCCUGCCUGAUUGACUAUUAUCUCUACCUGUGUUCAACUUCCCUCCACCUCUGCGCCUCUGCAGGUUCUCCCAUGGGUGGGCGUUAUAGUGGAGCUGUGGUAUGUGCAAGAGCACAGAGCAGGGCUGAUGAAUACUCCGUGGACCCCAGCUCUGGUCGCCCACAUUUCUCUUUGCCAUGGUGCUCCCACAGAGGAAGGAACAGGACAACCCAGCCGUCAGCAGAGACUGUCUGGGAGAAGGCCCUGGCCCGGCUCACAUACGGUACAGUGGCGUGCGAACUGUACCGAGAGGGUAACACAGGCACAGGUGUUACAGUUGGAGGCCCAUCAGCGAGAUCGGGAAGUAGGGGACCCCUGAGACGCCCUCGGAAGGCUGGCCAGCAGGAUGAAGGAGAGCCCUGUGUGUCGACGUCCCUGGAGGGCGAUGCAGCUGUAUGACUUCUCAGGGACGUAGCUAGAUGAAGAGACCGAAUAGAGGUUCUCCGGGGACUUCAAGGUUAGAUCUGAAACAGAGCAGAGUGUCACCAAGCCUGAAUAUGGGCCUUGAACUCGGAUGACUCAUUCCUCCGGCUCUCAUGUCACAUGAGCAAGACUUCCACACAGAACUACUUUGGAUCAGUUGCUGCCAGCCACUCUUGGCCAGGGUCCAGGGAGUAAAUGCCACAUGGGCUGUGUCCUGGGGAGAGUGGAUAGAUUGCGUAGCCUUCCUGACUCUGGUCCUGAGACAGCGAACAGCAUUGCCUAGCCUUCCUACUCUGGGGAUCCUGUCCUAUAGUUUAAAAUGUGACCUCUAAGAAGCACAAACAAGCCAGAUCACAGAAGGGGCACAGUGUUGCUUGGCAGGCCUGAUACCAUGAUGGCACUGAGUUCAGGGGCACUCUGGAUGGACUUCCCAGUCUUACUGUUGGGCAAGAUUAUCUUAACAUGCCCUGCAUAAAGGGCAGAUGUGAGACUUUGGGGGUGGAAUUGUCGUGUCUCAGACACCAUUCAAAAGGUGAAAGCACAUGAAUGAAGGAUGUGCUAAAAGGCCACAGGAGUCUGUGAGGCCCUGGGUCCCCUCUGAGAAAGACAGGCACGGGUGAACAGCUUUAGGCAGGGUCUCUAGUGGGUGAUGGUCUGGGCAACUCUGCUUGAGGCGCUCACCUUCCUGCUCACCUGGAAAGGCAGGGCUAGGGACCUAACCCUCAAGUUCCGGUUCACUACAUACAGUUCCAGAGGCCAGGCCGUCACCCACUUCCUGAAGGCAUGGCUAUGGUCUAGCUGAAGUAGUUCCAAAAUGCAGCAGCUGGACCAGCAGCAGCAGCACUGGAAUCUGGUUACAGAUACAUGGAGGCCCAGCCUGGACCCCUCGAGUAAGCAGACUUGGUGGGACUCGGCUAUCUGUCCCAGCUUUAAGCAGGAUGGCUCCUUGGGGGUCCGUCUGACACAGUUCAUCGUAUGAGAACACUGGGUUUAAUUGAACACCACUGAAAAUACACCACAUUAUUCCAAGAUAUGAGGAACUAAAGGCAACGCAGUCUUCUGGUUCUUUUCUAGGCACUUGUUCUAGGACACAGUAGUGAGCAAAGACCUGGUCAUGAGUUCGACAGAACGCGGAAGAACAGAUCUACCGACAGCGAUGGUUACAUGAGCCAUGCACAGAGACUCUCACGCAGCAGGAGCCUCUGUUCUCCAAGUCAAAAGAUCAAAUUGGUUGGUAGAUAAGUUUCCCUGCGGAGACAGAGUUCUGCCCAGAGAAGAGAAAACAAACUGUAAAGCUGUGUAGAGAAUGGAACCCAAUCAUGUUUGUGAGAGAUUGCUCUCACAUGCCGAAAAACACACGAGAAAUGCAUGUGUUAAUUAAGAUGUAUUUUAUUUAUUACUAUUGUGUACAUAGCCUGUGCAUGUAUGUGUGUGUCUAUGUGUGUGUACAUGUCAUGACACGUGUGUGGAGGUCAGAGGACAGUUCUAGGAAGUUGGUUCCCUCCUCCCACCAUGUAAGUCCCAGGAUUGAACCCAGGUCAUCAGGUGUGGUGGCAGAUGCCUUUAUCCACUGAGCCAUCUCCCUGGUGAGACAUGUGAAUUUAAUGACCCUUAAGGCACCCUGUGGAAAGAUGCAACAGUCAAACCAUUCUGUGGAGGGAGUUGGUGCCCUGUCCUUACACAAUAUUUUGGAUUGUUCUUUACAGGGAAGUUGUGCCAUCUCAUUUCCUCCUGCCUUCCAUGGAAAUGGGAAGUAAGAUUCCAUGGUGCUUGGAGACAUUAGGUGGUCCCCUUAACAAAACCUUUAUUUCCACACUGAACAGCUUAAUAUCAGCACCAAAUUUCACCUUAAACAAUGCUGCUUAUCCCUGAAGUUCCGUGGACCUGUCUGCCCUGGUGUCAUUUGGAACUGUCAGGCCAAGAACUCAGUUGACCUCGGCAGACAGGAGAGUUCUAUUGGUCAACCAGGAUUGCAGUGCUCCUGGUAACCACUGCAUGAGAGUGCCACAGGAUUGGUGGAUAAAACAGGUAGAGAUAUUAAAAUGCAGUGUGAAUGAAAAAGAGGAGAGAGGGAGAUGGAGAGAGAGACAGACACACAGAGAGACAGAGACAGACAGAGAUAGAUAGAGAGACAGAGACUGACAGAGAAGAGACAGAGACACAGAGAGAUAGACAGAGAUAGAGAGACAGAGAAAGAAAGAGAGACAGACAGAGGCAGACAGAGAGAGACAGAGACAAAGAGACAGAGACAGACAGAGAGAGACAGACAGGGAGAUAGAGAGAGAGGUAGACACACACACAGAGGCAGAUAGAGAGAGGAUGAGAGAGAGAGAGAGAAUGAGAGUUAGAGGUCUUUUUCCAUUUGCAGUACUGUGAACCUUAGCUAAGUGCUCUGGCACUGCUGUCCUGUUGUAGCUGGUGUCAGCCAGAAAGAAUGGAGAUCUCACUACACCCUAUCAUGGCCCUUCCUAGAAUAACCCUGUGACCACCUGCUAUCUCCAGUUUCAGAGUACAGACAGAAGCAUUGGUCCCUGGGCUUUCUAGACUCUUCUGAAAGAAUUACUGAAGCGCAAUUGGGAGGAUUUUCUUCCACAUCUAUGUCUUUACUCCAGUAGGGAAUAACAAGCCAUAUAGGCAAGGACAGACACAAGAACACAAGUCUGUCUACCCCGUGGGCCUUUGCAGAUGCCAUGUGGGUGGGAGGAGGCGCUGCUGGCAUGCUGGGAUCGCAGGCAAGGGGCUUGGUUUUGGUUUGUUACCAGUUACUCUAUGGUCUGCCACCACAAAAUAUGCAUUUGCUUAUUUUAUUGGAGGAAAAGGGAAGAAUGGGUAAGAGUCAGCUUCUGGGGAAAUAUGCAAACCAAGGAAGGUGCACUUGGCUCCUAUGGGCCAGGUUUCUCGGCAGAGGUCCCUCUGAUAGAGCACCUGGGCGGGGGGCUUUGAUCUUGGGGAGAGACACAGAUGAAGAAGAGGUUGGGGGUCAGUCAGUAACAUGCUUACACAUACCCCAGAAGUAUGUCAGAAAUGUCAUCAGAGCCACGUGUCCUGGAUGGCCGAGGGGUCCUAGGCUGUGCCAGACAUUUGAGGAACAUUUCUAGGUACACACCAGGAACCGGUGAAGCUUCCUAGGCAACUCUGGCUAGGGUAAUAUCUCAUGCAAACUUGCCAAUGACCAGUAUCUUAGCUGGGUGGCUAUGGCGAAGCCUCAAGGGCCUCGAAGGGAUUCACCUUUGGAUGGUCAGGGGCCUCUACCCUCGAUGCAUGUACCUUUGCUUAUUUACUUAGCCAUUGUAUUUUGAGAUCCUGGGCUUUGUCCCUGUUAAACAAUCACUUCACCACCGAGCUGUAUCCCCAGUCUUCUAGGGAUAAAAGUUUUUACUUUUAUCCCUGGUUGUCACCAUAUAGUGGGGUCCUUUAUUCACUGUGCUGAUGCUUCAGCUUGUGACGGCCAUCCUUUCCCCAUAUUGAGAGGAGCCUUUCCUGCACAAGUCUGCUGCAGCUGCUGGGGAUGUGUGGGCUGAUGGAUGUGUGGUUGUUUGUAAGGCUGGAUUAGGGUUGUGCUUCUGGGAAGAAGGUCCCAUGAACAUUUGCCUGUGGACACUUUCCCCUCUUAGAGCAAUGCUUAGGAGUGGGGUGGCAGUGGCCAAAUACUAAGUGCUGUUCAGGGAUUGGCUAUUGCAUUUUGCCCACCCACCUGCUGUGUGUCCUGCCAGUGUGAUGCCAGCUGUGGCCCAUUUUUCUAGUCUUAGGCAUGCUGGUGGUGGGCAGUGUGAGCAUAUUCAUUUCAUUAGACAUCUCUUGAUGACUCCAGGCAUCACACAAGUUCACAUACAGUUACUAACCAUCAGACUGGGUGCCCUCUCAUCCUCUUUGCUAAGUGAGUUUCAAAUCUUUUUCCUAUUUAAAAAAUUAUUUCCUCCUCCUUCUCUUUUGGUAUCUUUUUAUGCAUUCAUCAUUUUGUCUACUAUCUACCCAUGUAUCUAUUAUAUCCCCAUUUAUCUAUUUACUAUCUUCUAUCAACCAUCUGUCAGUCCUCUUGUAUCUGUCAUCUAGCUCGCUAUUUCUCUGCCUAUCUGUAUCUAUUAUCUAAUCAUCUAUUUCUCCGCCUACCUACGUUCAUCCAUUUAUCAUCUAUCUAUGUAUCAACCAUCUACCAAUGUAUCUAUUAACUACCUACCUACAGUCUGUCUGUCUGUCCAUCCAUUCAUCAUCCAACCAUCCAUCCAUCCAUUCAUCCAUCCAUCUUAUAAAGAGAUGGCUUUCAUGGCUGUUGAGACUGAGGGACCCCGGAUGUCCAGACGUAUGGUUGGUGAAAUGUAGACCCAGGAACAUCUUUAGUAUAAUGAAGGCCUGAGCACUAGAAGACCUGAUGGUGUAGUUCAGGCCCAAUGGAAGCCUCAGCUGAGCUCAGGCAGGCAGGCACACUUCCUCUUCUGUCUGAAGGUCAGUCUUUUCUUCCCGGUCAGAACUUUCGCCAUAUUUGUGAGGCUCUGCUUUAUGAAGACUGUCUAAAUGUUAAGUUCAUCACAGAUGCUGUCGGAGGAGUACCAAGUCUCUGUCACCACAUGGCCGGAAAGCUGUCUCUUAAGAGUCACACUGCAUCUACCGUUUUUUUUUAAAGGAGGCUUAAAUACUCUAGAAAUUUAUUGAGGUUUUUACGUUACCCAGGAAGCCCAUCAUCGUGUUACACUUUUUUCCAUUCUUAUUGAUCUCUGCCAGCCAUAACAUGGCUGAUAGGAGUGCAUUUCUGGUACUGAUGUAAAUAUGGGCGCCUCUCUACUUGUCACUAUUGUGCUCCCCUCUGUUAAGGUCUCUUAUCUCAGGGCCCUAGGAGUCAGCAUCCUGGUGGUAUUCUCACGAGCAUGCGAGGCAUCUAGACUGACUUCUGUAGGUGCAAUCUGUGGACCAUUUGCUCUCUGUCCACGGCAGGUACCUAGAAAAGGGACUGUAAACCCUGAGAGAUGUUUCCUGAUGUCGUCACAGCAUCUGAACAUACAAUGUAUAGUCCAGAAGGACAUACCAACCUAGACAUCACAGACACAUGGAAUAGGGUGGUUUACACAUGAUGUUCAGCAAGCUAGCAGUACCUGGAAAAUGACACAAGGGCUAGUCCCUGUCGGGACAUGUGGACAGUAGUCCUGGAGGGUGUGUGGAUGAAGAGGACCCAGCACUCUUCAGCAUGUCACUGAGGCUUUUGACUUCGGUGGAGUGGGUUUUGAGGGAUGAGAGAGUGUGUUUUCUCCAGCAGAGAGCCAUGUCCUGAACACCAGCUCAAAGUGUUGAUCCUCGGCCAUGGCUGCAGGGUAUAGCAGGGCUCAUGAGAAGCAAGGAUGUGGAAGGAAGUGGCGUGGCAAUGUCUGCAUGUGUUGGCACACAGGCACUGGAACACCGCUCUCUGAGAGCACAAUCGUGCCUUGUUCUGAGAGCUGCAGGCCCACAUGGCGUCAGCUUUCAUAGACUCUGACUACUCUGUUCCUCCUGCAGUGGGAGAUUCUGAGCGUGAGCUUGAGGGAAGUAAAUGUCACUACUGUGUGGGCUGUGUCACUACUGUGUGGGUGUGUCACUACUGUGUGGGUGUGUCACUACUGUGUGGGUGUGUCACUACUGUGUGGGUGUGUCAGUUCUGUGUGGGUGUGUCAGUUCUGUGUGGGGCUGUGUCACUACUGUGUGGGCUGUGUCACUACUGUGUGGGUGUGUCAGUUCUGUGUGGGGCUGUGUCACUACUGUGUGGGCUGUGUCACUACUGUGUGGGCUGUGUCACUACUGUGUGGGGUGUAUCACUACUGUGUGCGGGCUGUGUCACUACUGUGUUUUGGUUCCCACAGACCUGGCUGACUUGGCUGUCACUCAGCUGACAUCACUCUGGACCUGGCAGCGAGUUGUGGGGACAUUAAAAAAUCUCUGCCUGUCUAGAGGGGCUGGUACCUGCAGCGUCAGGCCCUCUGUUAGCUGCUCCCUUCCAACCCCCACACCAGUCUCCUGGAGCACACAGACAAAGAAUCCCAUGUGGCAGGUUUGAGGAUGUUGUCUCAACCCCAAAGCUGAAGAUCCUAGGUCAAUGAGUCUUGGGGUUCGUUUCUCUGGAGGCUUUUCCUUGGCUGACAGAGGCUAUCAGUUCCAUCUCUCAAUGUAUGUCACUAUCUCAUGGCUGAGUUUUAUAAGGACAUCAGUCUUAGCUGGUAAAAAAGAUCUCAUUUUCACUUAACUCUUCAGAGCCUCUGCCUUACAAAUGCAGUCAGUUUCUGAAGGCUUGCGUUUGGAAGGACACAGGUCAACUGUGUCAUUAUCUUCAUCCCUGACACUCAGCCAACACAAGCUGAGUGGGCAUCUGUAGGCUUCAGCAGUCUCUGUGGUCCUAGAGUCAUGUGGUUAUGACAUAGCUUGGAGGUGGGGUCCCAGGAUGACAUCACCGUAUUCCCUCAGAGAUGCUCUGUUUCAACCCAGUUUGAUAGGUGGGCAAGGACCCUGAUGCCCGGUGAGGUGUGAAGAUCUGACUCAAGAGGACAGUCAGAGACUGGUCAGACAGGAACCCAUCUCAAGGGCAAUGCCAGGGUAGAUUGUAGGACACUUUUGGGAGACUCAAGUAUAUGGGAACUGAACUCAGGGCCUCUGGAAGAGCAGGAAGCACUCUUAGCCCUGGAGUCAUCUGUCCAGCCUCUGGUAUUCUCUCCAUGACCCCCAUCCUGAGAUCACUCAUGCCUGCCCAUCAUCUAAGCACCCAGGGCUUGAGACACGUUCAUAGAGAGUGCCCAACUGAGGACUUCUCUUGGCACUUGAUUUUGUUGGUGCUGCUUCCCUGCUGAAGGGUCUUCCUUGGCACACACACAUGAGGAAUAGAAGGGUGUGCCUAGGUCCUCACCUGGCCCUCAGCGUUCUAGUCAGAAUGUCCUUUUGUACUCACAAGCCACUCUGUUUCUGGGAAUGAGUUCUUCCUCUUUCCACCCAUCUGAACCACGCCAGAGCACUUCUUCGUGGAGGGUGGUCCAGCCUUCUCUCACCAGAUUGCACAAUCAACCUGCCAUCUCCAUCAUCUUCAUGGUCACAACACACAAGUCCAUGAACAAAUUGGCUUGCCCGUGUCUUCAGUCCUUAUAUCUACACAUGAGGCAUACCUCACCUGGCCUUACAUCGGGGUUAUCACGCAUUGUUUGUGUUUAUCUAAAAAAAAAAACACACUGCUCUGACUUCCGUGCCCUCAUGGUAUCUCAGGUCUCCGUCUUAUGUUUCAGCAGAGUGGGUUAAUGCUUCUCAAAACAACCCAGGAAGCAAGACUCCAGUUGGCAGGGACAGAGCUCGCUGCUCUAGUGCUCUCUGCUCGUCACCAUGGAAGCAAGCAGCAUCGUCCUCAGGUGUUCCCAGUUGAGAACAUUAAAUUUAUGUGAAGCUUGACAUUUCCUUAAACCAUCUAUCUUAUACCAUGCUAUAGCCAGGUUUAAAAACAGAAGCUAGAGUACCCCCCAGAUGUUUUUGAAUGAAAAACAAGAUUCUACAUAAAGCUGUUUCAUGAUCAACAUCCCAACUCCCCCGUUAUCGACCGCCACAGCUUGAGGGACGCAGAUGUCAGAAGCUGCUGUGGAAUAGUGUUCUGUCUCCUUCCUUUGGAGUGACCCAGUAUAUUUAUGUGUGGCCACCUCUGAAAAUUAUAUACAUACAAUAUAUAUGUAUUAUUUUAAAUCAUCAAUCUAUAAAUGUAUGAUUUUAAAUCAUCAAUCAAGGUCAAACACUCAAUGGCUGUAACCAUCUGAAUGCUUGGUGUACAUAUUUGUCAAUAUGUAAUAUGUCAAUAUGUAAAAUAUGUAUAUAUUUGUCAAUGAAUUCACUUGCAAAGAGACUGUGGGACACACAUGAGUACAAGGAAAGCCACGGGCUUAUAUUCCUUCUACAAUGCCGAUGGCCUUGGGAAACAUGAAGCUAACUGUGUCUGCCAUACAGACUUCGGAAGGCUCUUAGACUUGGGACAGAGACCAGGAUCACCUGUGUUUCCUAUUUAAGCAUCAGCCAGACCCUCUGUCUCCUGCAGGUCACUUGUGUAACGAUGGCAUCAUGUCCCUCAUUGGCCAGAAGACCCAAGGCAGCAGAUGCCAGCAGGAGGCUCUUUGGAAAGAGGCCAGGCUGGCAGUGCCACAGAUGCCACAGGGGGCUUAAUCUCUCUGUCACAAGCCACCCAGGAAAGAGGAGAAAGCUGCUUUCCCACCAAGCGCACUGUGGGUGAAGUCAAUUAGUGCAGCCUGAUGAAAAGCCACUUCCUGUUGUUUACUUUCUUUAAAAGUCAAUUAAGUGUUCCAGUCAUCAGAGAUUUAAAUUAAGCCUUGGGAACAAAGACCAAGCUAAAACUGAUAAAAAGCUGCGCUUCAGCUGUGUAGUGUCAGAGGAGAGGAGUACCUAGACGGGCAGACAGGCACAGUUAGCAUGUUAUAGCCUCGAGGUGAUGCAGGCUCUGGGAGCCUAAGGCUUACAAACUGGGACUCAUGUCCUCUGGGACACUGGUAGGCGAGACCUCUAUAACCACUCUGCCUUCCACAGCUACCAGCGUCGGCUCCUGCCCACCCACCUAUGGGAAGGCAUACAUUUCCUGUUGCGUCCUCGGGGUCAGGAAAGGCGGUAGCAGAAGUGUCACAUGGCCGGGAGCAGGGACACACUGAGACACGGGGAGAAAGCAGAUAUGACUCAGACACUAAUUUUAUAGGUGAACAACAAACAACAGAACCAGUGAACGACGAGGAAGUGCCAGGGAUGCUUAGAGGACAUGGAAAGUUCCAAGGCUGCCUUGUACCCAGCUGCAUUUUUCAAACACCUCACUGUCACUGUACAUGCAAAUGGUGUCUGGGUGUUAGGUGUGGGUGUCAGGAGACCUUGGGUUCAGCUGCCUUGCAGGAGGGCUGUUCGUCCACAGCAUGGCUGCAGGGUCUGGUACUCGCAUCUUUCUGCUCUCCUCCCGAAUUCAGGUUGCAUCUGGGGCUGAUGUUAUGUGUGCUUUGUGUGAUGUCUUAAAGGGUGUCUCUCUGAGGCCUCAUCUUCCUUCUUUCUGGCAACUUUCCAUAUAUCCUCGUUCCCUGGAUCUCUGCAGGCAUUGUGUUAGUUUUCAUUGUUGGCUGCCAUUGUGUGAAGAGGACCAGGGACUUUGAAUUCGAGAUCCCACAUGGCUCUGAGAUCUGAAAGAUGUAUUGUAACGUGGAGAUAGGUUUUGAGGGAAAUGGUGAUGUUCAGUGCCUCCUUUCAGAGUUUUUAAUUAGUGGACUGUGAAGACCACUUUUGCUUUUCUGGUUGGUCUGUUCUGCUAAUAGAAGGAGCUGGGUACCCCCUUCCACUUCCAACUGACCUGUCCAAAAGAGGUUCCUGAAAAGUAACCCCAACAGUGAUGUAGAAAGUGAGGCCAAGAGUUUGGGGAGGCAAAAGUGUAGAGGAAUUCCUGUCAGAGAGAAAGAAAGGCUUUGGGAUCGGAGGGGGUGGGGAAUUACAUUCCAAGACAGCAAGGAGUGGCGGUGUUUUUUCUGAGAGCUUCAGGGACAUUUCCACUUGUGAAUGAACUAGGCAGAUGGCUGGAAUAACAUAUUGUGGGGUAGUGAGAUGGUGCAGUGGUUAGAGGGGCUUGCUGCUAAGCCUGAGGACCUGAGGUCAAUGCCUGGGACCCGUGACAUUGGGUACUUACUCAGACCUACAGGCCAGCCUAGGACCUCCUCUUCUCAUAUCCUUUAGAGAAAACAGGGCACUUUCUCUAAGGAAACUGGGCCUUGUGCCUAGAAAUAGCCCUGAAUGGGCAAGGCAGUCACCUAACUCAUACCCUGGCAGCAGAGGUAACAAGAGCCUUUGUUCUUUGGAUGGCUGCUGUAGAGUCUUUUGUGUUCUGUGCAGUUCCUAUGCAGACAUCUUUCCUUGCUGCUGAGUGUGCACAAUGAACCCAGGUCCCCUCAAGGAGGCCAAGGAAAAUACAAAGCCAUGCACAUACUGUAGGGGAGCCCACCUAGAGGGAAGUGCACGCCUGCCCUGCAUUUGAGAUGGCACAAUCCUCCAUGCAGAAUUCAGAGCAGAUAGGACCUUCAGGCAGCUGAAAAGAUCUAAAAGCAUUCGAGAACAACCAUGACGUAAGGUCGUGCAGCUGCCCUUUGGAGAAAGACCGGUACCCCCAAAACAGAAGAGAAUGGAAAAUCCUCAAACUCAAGGGUGCCUGACCUUCUAACUUCUUUGGACUCCCACUGGACAAAGAAUUGUCAAAUUCAGGAUGUCUGACCACUGGCUCAUGAGUUGCUAGGGGACAUAUGUUUAUUGUGUGUGAC